GGUUUUCAUCGUCUAAACCUUGUUAAAUCUGUUGCAAAAUUUGCUCGUUUGGACCAAAAUCCGGCGAAAAGCAAGACUUUUGGCCAAGGUGCGUGCCAAAUGUCUAUGUAACCACCACUGAUGUUUUUUGGUACAUAAUGAAUGUUUGUUGGUCUACAGAAUUCGAUGUUUACGCCAGACGGCCGUUUAGAUGUCACUAAGGAAAGACUGUGGUGCUCUUUAACAAUUUCUGCGCAAAUGGUGCUUUACUGAAAUUGCUCCAAAGGUUCUAACGUGACCACCAUUGAACUCUCGUGACCUUUGAACAGCCACCAGAGUCGAUAUCGGAUGUGUUAAAGACCAAAUGUAUCGGUCUUGCUGAGCGUUUCUUGCUUUUUGUAUCCCGGGAUGUGGCUUAUCAUUGAAUGAUUCAUUUUGGUUGAAUUUGUGGAUGAUUUGGGUUAUUGUAGAGGCUACAACUUCAGUCUUCUCGUAAUUGUAUACUGUGAAAGGCUUCAUUGGAUCAUGCCCAAAACUGCAUGUAGCUGGUUGUCAGAAAGUCCUGGCUUUUACUCAGAUGUUUAUUGCAGUUUGUUAACAAUAAGGGCGGGAAAAUUCAUGACAUUAGCCAAGCUUUAAAUGACAAAAUCGUGAAAAUGGUGGGUACGUUGAAAAUCGGUGAACUCGGUUUAUGUCCGUUCAAAAUAACCCUUACUUCGCAUUUGUUCCAAAAAUCACUCAACCGUAAAAUUGUCGACAAUUGUCUUAAAAGUCAUUUUCAACCAACUAUACAAAGUUCUAAUAUAAAUAAAAUAAAAAUUAUAAGUUUUUUUUGAAAAACAAAAGUGUUGCGUUUUCAUUGGCA
rnacentral:lncRNA from 1 species